rnacentral:lncRNA from 1 species
GAAUGGAGAGAGACAGCGAGACGUGGAUAGAGGAAAGGAGAAGCGGUCACAGAGGAGAAGAGACGAAAGGAUCGGCGUCUGAAACUGUGUAAACGUGGAAGGAACGAUUUCCCCGUAUUCAAUUAGUACAAGUGUUAUGAUUUAGCACGCAUAGAUGAACUUCAUCUAUAUAGCGAAACGACGUGCAAGAAAGAUUAUAAUGUGUACAAAUUACAAAAUCACAAGUAUAGAAAUAUAAUUUAUUGAUAUUAUCAAUUUAGGUAAUUGCUG